AUAUUUGUUGAAUGUCUUGUUUAUCGUAUUGGGAAAGUGUAUUUAUUUAACCGGGGAAUGCCCCGAGGUAAUUUGUAUUUACUCACCGGGGAAUGCCCCGAGGAAUCUUGUACGCAAAGGAUGUUCGUGAUCAAGACCCGAGGUAUCGAGUAAAGCAUGAUUUAGGACUAGUGUAGGUUAUUUCAGUAUUUUUAUUUCGGGUUGUAAUAAUUGGACUGGACUUUACAUUUUUGUUUUG
rnacentral:lncRNA from 1 species